GGUUUAGCUCAGUCGGUAGAGCAUCGGUCUCCAAAACCGAGUGUCGGGAGUUCGAGUCUCUCAACC
rnacentral:tRNA from 1 species